UCCCACUCCCAAGUUUUUGGUAACGCCA
rnacentral:piRNA from 1 species